CGUAUUCUUUUUAAUUAUGCUUAGAAUUUCAGUGAAUUAACAGUUUUUCUACAGUUUGCCAUUUAAAUUCUUCCUGGUUUUUAUUACUAUUAAAAAUAACGACUUAUAAAAGAUCUCUGUGUAUACAAGGACACGGACUCUCACAGUGCUGUUUCAGGUGUAAAGCUGCUUGGUGCUGAAUAUAUUUAAGCCUGGACAGAUGAUGUUUUUCCAUUUAAAAACAGUGGAGGCUGCAAAUGAGCAGCUAGAGCGGAUGACAGUUUUGAGCUGCCCCACGGAACUCUGGUGAGUGAAGGAAUUGUAUACUAUCAGUUAUAAAAGUUCUUCCAGCCUUGACAAGUUAAUUCUGCCUCACACGCAUCUACUCAAGUUGCUGCAAAGUGUACCUUUUGUUCAUGAACAGACUUUCUCCCCACCAGACCUGUAUUAUCUUUGCUCACUACCUCAGCAAGAGAUUUCCUGACCAAAGUUUCCGAGAAGACCAGGGAAGAAUUUAUAUCAGCGCGUGACCUUUGAACUCAACAUCUCAGCUGUUUACCACUUUCUAAAGAAUUUUCACAGUGCCUCUGCAAACCAGGUCAUCAAGAGGAGUCCGCUAACAAUACGUCAGACCCACGGAGGAGCUGGACAAAGCGCUUGAAGGGUACAAGCCGCCGCCAAGAGUGUUCUCAACGCUGAACUACAGGAACCUGAUGGGCACGAUGUUGAGCACCGUGGCCUCCAGCUCAGGCGGAAGUGGUGCACCUGGGUGGCUGCCUACUGCUCCCUCAGCAGUUUGGCCAACUUCCGGAGCUCUGAGGACACUAAGCGGAGGAGGAGUAUCUUCGUGCGCCCCACCUCUGCCAUGGUGAUGUCCUAGCUGCAGAACCCCCGGUGCAAGAAACACCCCCCUACCCACCCCAGGCGAUGUCAGUGUAGGACCACUCUAUCUAUCUUCCCCCAGGCCUAGCCCCUGGCUGCUCAGCCUCCUGCCCUCAGCUGCUCUUCUGGGCCUACUUGAGUGACGUAGUCACAGUGCCGGAAGCUAGGUGGAGGGAACCUGAGGCUUUCUUUCCUUGGGAUUCCAUUUCUGCUGGGCAGAAGGAAAUACCCUAGGCCUACCCCUCCCCCCUGACUUCUUCACCCUGCCUGCCUGGCAGAUAUGAUAUCCCUGUCUCUAGGUGUAUCCACUCCUCUUUUUUUAAAAGAUUUUUUUAAUGCUUAUUUAUUUUAAAGAGAGGAGGAGGGGCAGAGAGAGGGAGACAGAGGACCUGAGGCAGGCCCUGUGCUGACACCAGGAAGUGCCUCACAGGGUUUGAACUGAGAAACAUUGAGAUCAUGACUUGAGCUGAAGUCCGAUCCUCAACCGACUGAGCCAUGCAGGUGCCCCUCCACUCAUUUAUUUAUUCAGACUAGUUAAUGAUGAAGUUUUGCAUUCUGGCAAAAAGCCAAAAACCAAAAAACAAAACUAAACUUACAGAAAAUGUGCAGGAAUAGUAUAGAUAAUACCCUUAUACACUUUACUCAGAUUCUCUAAUUUUAAAAUAUUUUUUCUCGUUCGCUUUAUUCUCCAUUCCCCGCCCCCUCCCUUUCAGAAUAGUCUCUAAAGAGGCACUUGAAUGUGUCCAUAUGACCACACGCUAGCCAAGGGGAAGUGAGCAACAGUGAGAUGUACAAUUUCAGAGAUGCUGAAGAGUGAACACAUGAGUCCCCUUUCAGCCCCCCUUGCAGCCUGGAAUGUGUGCCGUUCUGGCCCAGGUGGAUGGCAGCAAUUCCAGAUGGAUAGAAGAACAAAAAUAGAGAAGGUGCUUGGGUCCCUGACUUGAAUACUCACGCACAGAUUGUUGGUUGAAAAAGAAAAAAAAAUGCUGUCUAUGUUAUCCCCAAGUAUUCAGUUUCUAUUAGAAUAUCCCCAAGUAUUCAGUUUCUAUUAUGAUUAAAGCUCCAUGAUAAGUGACACUUGAGCAUCUUAAGCAUUAUCAGUAUGCAUUCUGGCCCUCCACUGCUGAGCUCAGCCAUUCAUCUGCUGUGUGACUUUGGGGAAGUUAUUCAAUGUCCUUCAGCCCUCUCGGGUUUGACAUGAGUACCUAACUCAUAAAGUCAUUUUAAUGAUGAGCAGACUUAAAGUGCUCAGAGCAGGGCUGGUGUGCAGCAAGUAUAAGUGUUAACUAUUCUUACUACUUGCAGAUACUUGAGAGGUGGGUAUUAUCUUGAACACUUUAUAGACGAAGAACUGGAGAUUCAGAAAAGCUAACUGAUUUGCCCAAGGUUAUGUAAUUAAUAAAUAGUGGAGCUAGGAUUUAGACUUCUCUUACUCCCACGCCUGUGCUUUCCACUUCUAUACAUUUUCAUCCUAUAAUUUUAGUAGUCUAACACAUUAGAGUGGUCAUCUUAAUGAAAAUCAACAUUUUGCCAGCCUUUCUGAUUUUCUGAUUUAGUGUUGCUUUUAUUUGGAUUAGGUAGGGAUGGGCGCUAAAGUUAACAGAAGCUCCGUAUGUCCUGGGUCUUCCCUAACAGGUGUUAGCUCAGACUUGUAUGAGUUAAAGAUUUCAAUAAUAUUACAAACUGGUCGGUAUAUUUUUUUGGUAAGACCUCUAAUGUAAACUUGUAUAAUACUUUGACCUAUGCAUGAAUGCAGACAAACACUUGAUAGGUUCUGAAGCAUCUUAAAAUGUAGUUAACUGUAACUCUGACUUUAAAGUGCUUGAGGGCUCUUAAGCAUCUCUGUGGGUACUUUCAGAGAUCCCCUGGAAACUGAAAUCCUUCUUUCUGAGCUUUAGAAUGGAAUAAAAUCAGGUGUUGGUAAUAUG